UGUAAGCUAAAGAGAAUAUGUUAGAUUAUCUGGAUUUUUCUUGUUACUGUGGGAGCGAUGGUGUUCCCGCUGGCUAACUAGAUCCUAGACUGAAGCUGGAAGUCCUCCAGGGUUGAUUUUAAAGCAAAUAAAACUUCUCUUGGACCAGAGAGGAAACUCUAAUUUAACAAACACAUGUUUAAUGAGCGAUUGGACUUUAUCUACAACUAAAAGACACCAUCGGCACCACCACUCUGCCAAUCUUGGAGUCUCAAAAUGUGGAGCCAUUCUUGACGCUGACCUCGCUCAUCCUUCAUAUUCAAUCAG
rnacentral:lncRNA from 1 species